rnacentral:rRNA from 1 species
AACCAACUGGGAUUACCUUAGUAACGGCGAGUGAAGCGGUAAAAGCUCAAAUUUGAAAUCUGGUACUUUCAGUGCCCGAGUUGUAAUUUGUAGAAUUUGUCUUUGAUUAGGUCCUUGUCUAUGUUCCUUGGAACAGGACGUCAUAGAGGGUGAGAAUCCCGUUUGGCGAGGAUACCUUUUCUCUGUAAGACUUUUUCGAAGAGUCGAGUUGUUUGGGAAUGCAGCUCAAAGUGGGUGGUAAAUUCCAUCUAAAGCUAAAUAUUGGCGAGAGACCGAUAGCGAACAAGUACAGUGAUGGAAAGAUGAAAAGAACUUUGAAAAGAGAGUGAAAAAGUACGUGAAAUUGUUGAAAGGGAAGGGCAUUUGAUCAGACAUGGUGUUUUUGCAUGCACUCGCCUCUCGUGGGCUUGGGCCUCUCAAAAAUUUCACUGGGCCAACAUCAAUUCUGGCAGCAGGAUAAAUCAUUAAGAAUGUAGCUACUUCGGUAGUGUUAUAGCUUUUUGGAAUACUGUUAGCCGGU